rnacentral:misc_RNA from 1 species
AAGUCGUAACAAGGUUUCCGUAGGUGAACCUGCGGAAGGAUCAUUACCGAGUAAGGGUCUUUAUGGUAUAAGCCCGACCUCCAACCCUAUGUCUACUUUACCAAAUGUUGCUUCGGCGAGCCCGCUUUUCUAGGCCGCCGGAGGGCGUAACACCCCUCUGGUCAGUUGCUCGCCGGUGGCCCCCAAUCAAACUCUUGUUAAACAUGACGUCUGAGUGGAUUAAAUCAAUAAGUAAAAACUUUCAACAACGGAUCUCUUGGUUCUG